GAUGAACGCUGGCGGCGUGCCUAAUACAUGCAAGUCGAGCGAACGGACGAGAAGCUUGCUUCUCUGAUGUUAGCGGCGGACGGGUGAGUAACACGUGGAUAACCUACCUAUAAGACUGGGAUAACUUCGGGAAACCGUAGCUAAUACCGGAUAAUAUUUUGAACCGCAUGGUUCAACAGUGAAAGACGGUCUUGCUGUCACUUAUAGAUGGAUCCGCGCUGCAUUAGCUAGUUGGUAAGGUAACGGCUUACCAAGGCAACGAUGCAUAGCCGACCUGAGAGGGUGAUCGGCCACACUGGAACUGAGACACGGUCCAGACUCCUACGGGAGGCAGCAGUAGGGAAUCUUGCGCAAUGGGCGAAAGCCUGACGGAGCAACGCCGCGUGAGUGAUGAAGGUCUUCGGAUCGUAAAACUCUGUUAGUAGGGAAGAACAUAUGUGUAAGUAACUGUGCACAUCUUGACGGUACCUAAUCAGAAAGCCACGGCUAACUACGUG
rnacentral:rRNA from 1 species